UAGGGAAUCUUACACAAUGGGGGAAACCCUGAUGCAGCGACGCCGCGUGAGCGAUGAAGGUUUUCGAAUCGUAAAGCUCUGUCCUAUGGGAAGAUAAUGACGGUACCAUAGGAGGAAGCCCCGGCUAACUACGUGCCAGCAGCCGCGGUAAUACGUAGGGGGCGAGCGUUGUCCGGAAUUACUGGGCGUAAAGGGUUCGCAGGCGGCAUGACAAGUCCGAUGUAAAAGGCGAAAGCUCAACUUUCGUAAGCAUCGGAAACUGUCAAGCUUGAGUGAAGGAGAGGCAAGUGGAAUUCCUAGUGUAGCGGUGGAAUGCGUAGAUAUUAGGAGGAAUACCGGUGGCGAAGGCGACUUGCUGGACUUCAACUGACGCUGAGGAACGAAAGCGUGGGUAGCAAACAGG
rnacentral:rRNA from 1 species